ACACCUGACCUCUUCAGUUCAUCAGUGGGGUUCGCCAGCAUCACCCCCAUUUUUCAUGAAGAGAAACUCAGGAGUGGAGAGAACGUCUGAGGCUACAUAGCCAGUACAAAAUCACUUCUUGACCUGCACAACUUUCUCAUUUGAUGAGUUCAACAGAAACCAAUUCAAGGGAGAAGAAUAAAGACAUUGUUGAACUUAGACUUUGACAAGAUGCAUAUUGGAUAUUUAAUUAGAGAUAUCAAGAAAUGAAGAUAUGCAUUUCCAGUUCCAGGGAGAAAUUCAGACUGGAAAUAUAAAUUUAGGAAUUUUAAAGUUAGUGGUCACAUUUAAAGCUGCAGAAUACAAAGAGAUCACCUGUGUGAGAGAACUGAGUCCUGAAACACACCCGUGUUUAAAGAUCUGGAAGGUGUAGAGGAAUUAUCAAAGGAGACUGAGAAGGGACAGCCAGUGAAGUGUGUAGAAAAACAAGAUAAGCAAAAAGAAAAGUAAGAGAUACGGAACUGAACUUCCCUUUGGCAAAAAAUUUAGAAAAUGAUAAUUAGACUCCGCUUUCUGUCUCUCUGAAGAUAACGUUAAGCUGCAGCUCCAUAUCUGUGAAAACCCAUUUCAUAGCAUCUGCAACCCUGGGUUGCUAAAUACCCUUGUCUAGUUACCCGAAUAUUAAUGGAGCCCAUGGAAUGAGGUGGCAUGAUUCAGGCGCAAGCAAUUACCACAGGAUUUUGAAAAGCAGUAACUCCAAAUUAUCUUGUAAAGUUGAGAAUUAUCUGAGAAGAGCUAUUGUAAGAUUGGGAUUCAAGUAACAAAAUAAAGAUAUGAACCGUC